rnacentral:rRNA from 1 species
UACAGAGGUCUCAACCGUUGUUCGGAUUCAUUGGGCGUAAAGGGUGCGUAGGCGGUCGGGUAGGUCGGAUGUGAAAUCUCAGGGCUCAACCCUGAAACUGCAUUCGAUACUGCCUGGCUAGGGUACUGGAGAGGAGACUGGAAUUUACGGUGUAGCAGUGAAAUGCGUAGAUAUCGUAAGGAAGACCAGUGGCGAAGGCGAGUCUCUGGACAGUUACCGACGCUGAGGCACGAAGGCCAGGGGAGCAAACGGG